rnacentral:lncRNA from 1 species
GGUCAUCUUGAAAAUCAAUAGGGUACUACUCUUUUCCAUUCUCAGAGAGUCCCAGCAGAAAAGGGAUGUACUAUUCUCUUACAGGAGAGAGAGCUGAUGAUUGAGGACAAAAUAGAAUUUACUACAGCUGGUGAUGGUUAUUAACGUCUUCCGCAAGUAAGUUUCUCUGUACAUUUUUGUUCACAGCAAUAUUUUGUGAGGAGUUUGGGGGGGAACCCAUCUUGGUCCAUUGACAUGUCCUUUAUUUUAGGUAGGUAUCUGUCUGGCACAUGGUUUGCUAUUGCUCAGUGGACUCCGAUUCCUGCAGAAGGAGGAAUGAUUCAUGCCUACCGGGAGGAAAGGUCAUUGAGCAGAUGGAUGGUGAGAACUGGCAGUUCGAGAGCAAACAGAAUCAGUGGCCUGGGCAUUGGAGAAUAACAGAUGACUUUCUUGAGCCUCCAAUGUGCCACAUCUAUUGCAGGCACCCAAGUCCUUAUUCCUUGUCACUGGUGUAGGAAGCAAGGCUCCCAUAAUGCAGCUGAGAAAAUUAGCCCAUCCUUGGUGGAGGUCAGUCACUUCCUGUCUUCAUUCAAGAAUCUACCCCACUCACCUCAGCCUGAAUGGGUCUCUCCUCCACUGAACUCCAAGAACUUUUACUUUGGGGAAUUUCACUUGGCAAUGACUUAUAGGCAGUUUUGUAGUUGGUUUUCUGACACACUAUUUAACUACUGUGUGGUUUAAGGACAGAAGAACUCAGAUUUCUUAAGGUCCUACUUUGUGCCAGGUCCCUUGUAUGUGGCAGCUAUUCUACACCUCGUGAUGACCUGAAAAGCUAGGUACUGGUGGCCUUGUUUCACAGGGGGGAAAAUAGAGGUUUGGCAAGGUUAAGUGACUAUUCAAAGUCACAUAGCUAGUAAGUGGUGAAGGUAGGAUUUGAACCCAGGUCUGUCAGCUUCACGUUGGGUUAUUUUGGACUCUUAGUGGGAUUUUAUGUUCCCAGAAAGCAAGGAUUUCGUCUUAUACUUCCUUAUAUCAUCCUCAAAAUCCAAUAUAGAGACUGAGCACUGCAUAGGUGCUUGGAAAUAUUAUUAAAUAUCUUUAUAUAGAGAGAUAAGCAGGUGACUUAGUGCUCCUUGAGUCCUAAAAGAAAUACCAGAUGUGGUGUGGGAGGAAGUAUUGCCCCUCUCUGCCCUUUUUCCUCUGGUAUCAAUCCUCAGCUGGCUGAUAGCAUUUAGGCUGAGGCCACUGUGUGGCUGAGUGGCUAGAUGGAUAGAUAGAUAGAUAGAUAGAUGAAUAGGUAGAUAGAUAGGGCUUUGACAGGGCUCAGAAAUAAAUCCAUGAAGUUGUGGACAUAGAAGGGAAUGCACAUUUACUGUAUGUCUCCGUGCUGGGCUUUCAUCAUUUAUUAUCUCAUCAAAGGCACAUGAUAUCUUUUGGGGUCAGAUUUCUUAACCCCUUUGAACAGCCCAAUUUCAUACAGCAAUAAUAAUAGAGCUGGACUCUGAAUACAGGUCUGGCUGACCCCAAAGCCCCAGUUGCUGCCUCCACAUACCCCACUACUGACACAGAUAGCACCCCUUCUGUUAAAAAGCAAGCCAGGUCAGGCCAUCACAGAGGAUGGCUGGCCUUGAGUGCAUGGGGAAUAAUAACUUGGAAUAUAUUCCACUCACAAAACUGAAAGUUACCUGCUUCCUGAUCUAUUGCCACUGGAGACUUUUUUUAAUCAGCUCUUACCUGUGUGGUAGUCAAGCAUUUCACCUUUUUCAUUGAAUUAUCGCAUUAGGCUCUUGACAGAGUCAUUCUCUCUGAAAAUAAAGUGGUUUAAGAUGAAAACUGCAAUUAUGGUGCCAUCAUUUAGGAGGAUCUGGGAUUCCUGUAGCGUUAAAAGGAAUACGUAAUUGCCAGUUAAAGCAAAGCACGCUAUUGGCCUAAACCAUUGAUUAGAAGUAAAUUGGGAAAAAUUCUCUGUGUAACAUCAUGGAUAGGCCCACACCCUUUCUCGUAGAGCUAAAGUGACAUGUGUGAGGUUCAGAGAGGUUAAUAACUUGCUCAAGGUCACACAGCUAGUAUUCUCCUGACACUAGAGAAUGCAUAUCUGAAAUGUAUAAUCCAGGGAGCUGAUACAAACUAGAGUGUGCAAGAUUCUAGAAGGGCUCAACUUGGUCCUGCUAGGCUUCCCUGGUUCAGGCCUUUGUCAUCUCCCCCUGGACCUUAUCAUCUUAGUCUCCUCUCCUUCACCUCACUCCCUGGUAUUCUCCAAAUAACAAACACCCAGAGUGAUAGUGGCAAUUAUUAUUGGUUGCCCACCAAAAAGCUUCCCCCAUCACUUUAAUGUUACCAGAACAAUAGUUUUGGUCCAUCCCACCUCAGGGAUGAAUCCAGAUGGGUUUGGCCAUUCCUGGCAACUACACAUAUAAAUGUCUGUAUUUUACUUAAUAACUUUGGUUUUCUGCCGUACUAUGAGUACAAGAAUUCUGAAACUAUUUUCUAUGUUUGUAGAUCUGAGCAGAUAAAUGAAUAUACUUAUGUUGUCAGGAAUCAGAGUUCUCACUGUGGAAGAAAAGCGACACAACCUGAAAAGGGAGCAAAGCAAGCAAAUCUCUACAGAAUUCAACUGGAAUUAGAGAUACCAGGAUUUCUAGCUUUGCCCAGUGAAAGGGCCAGGAAGCCUGACAUGACUGGAAAUGAGCACACUCCAGCACACAGGGAAUUUUUGGUUUCUAAAAAGCAUUCUUUGUUAAAAGGAACCAGGGAUUCUUGAAGAAGUGGCUGAUCCAAGGACUGGGGCAAGACAACUACAAGAAGAGUCAGGAACAUUGGACUGUAACAGAAAAUAAGAGAUAGUAUGAAUAGAGAUCCUGCUGUAUAGCACAGAAACUACAUCUAGUCACUCAUGAUGGAACAUGAUGGAGGAUAAUGUGAGAAAAAGAAGAUAUAGGGAGUUCCCGUCGUGGCUCAACAGAAACGAAUCCGACUAGGAACCAUGAGGUUGCAGGCUGCACCUGGGCUAGGGAAAUUGGAGCUGCAGCUGUAGGCCUACACCACAGCCACAGCAACAUGGGAUCCAAGCCUCUUCUUUGACCUACAACACAGCUUGCAGCAAUGCCAGAUCCUUAAUUUGCUGAGCGAGGCCAGAGAUCAAACCCU